rnacentral:sRNA from 1 species
AAUCUAUCAAAAUCCACACCUGUGAAUCAUUUGGUUGGCCUCUCAGGACACAUCAGUUUGUACGGCAGAAAUGCCGUACAAAUUCUUGAGGUGAUGUAUGUGUGGAGUGGUCCCCACUCCCAUUCAGACAUCAGGCAUUGUUGUUGUCCUUUCUGCUAAUAAGCAGAGCACACACAGUGUUGGCCCUUCUUAGUCUAACCGACUAACCUUAACCCAAUUACAUCUAUUUUUGAGACAUGGAGAGAUCAGCUUAGAGCUGUAUCCCUCAGAAACCAAGACAACUCUCAACAACGGAUAUCUUGGCUCUCAGAUCGAUGAAGAACGCAGCGAAAUGCGAUACGUAGUGUGAAUUGCAGAAAUACGUGAAUCAUCGAAUCUUUGAACGCAAAUUGCGCUUGAGGCUUCGGCCAAGAGCAUGUCUGCCUCAGCGUCGGGUUAAAUCUCAAUGCCGUACACACGCAUGAUGAUGCACGUGUACGACAUUGGAUCUUGUUUUCUCGGCAUUAAAUCAUUUACUCAAAUCGUUUAAUGCCGGGUGAAUUGAAGUAUGUAGAUGCUUAACCGUGGACCGUUUCAUCGGGCCUUUACUGGGUAGGCAAAGUCAGCGUUAUGUAAUGCAUACGUUGCUUGCUGCAAUGCUUUAGUAGAUGGCUUUGAGGUUCUGUGUUUCGCAAAAAAUCAGGAUUACUGUUGUACUGCACGGGACUCUGUAGUACUGUGUAGUACAGCAAGUGUACUAUUUUUUUCUCGACCUGAGCUCAGGCAAGA